rnacentral:lncRNA from 1 species
ACCUUGUAUUCAGUUUUUAAAAAUCUUGUACGGUUUUGAAAUGGUCGCAGUUUUAGUUUUAAGGAUUUUAAGCCCGUCUUCUGAGUUUAUAAUGGGUGUGUAUUGCGUGAGCUAGAGUGCGUGACAUCAUCAACUGCCGCACCCCAGAGUGAGGAGCAGCUCCGAAAACUGGAUUUUUUUUUGCUUCAGCUUGAUUUGGAUCCCACAUCUUGUACUUGACAUAGACAAUAUAGGCAUAUAAAUGUAGGAAAUCUUGUUGGGUUUCAGCUGAUGUUCUCAUUUUAGCUGUAGGACUUAAGGUUCUGGAUCUAGAAGCCCGAGAGCGACAAGCACACCUGAAUGUUCCCCAUAAGCGGCAAUGUUAAUUUUGAGGCAAAAUUUCUGGAGGAUCACAGACGGGACAUGUUUGUCUCUCGCUCCUGUGCCCUCAUUAUGCACUCUACAGAAAUAAAAAUAACAUGGGUGCGUUCAGCAGUGUCUCCUGUUACUCAACAUAUAGCAUGUUUUGGCAAUAACUAUGACAGUUUUCUCAAGAAUCGCAGGAGUUUGGCAGGUAUUCUCCCAUUCAUUCCUUAUGGGGACAUUUUUGUCUGUGUUUCUGCUCCUGCUGCAGCAUGUCUGCAGCCAUUUUAACCUCUUUCUGCCUUUAACUUCUCACCUGUCAGCCUUUUUUCGCCUUUUUAACCUCUUUCUGCCCUCUUACUCUACAACUUUUUGGCCUUUUCAGUCUUUUUUUCUCCUUUUUAUGCUCAUUCCGCCCUCUUACUCUACAGCUGUUCAUAUGUUUUCACCUUUUAACCUCUUCCAGGCCUCUUACUCUACUGCUUGUCAUCCUUUAUUCACCUUUUUAACCUCUUCCAGCCCUCUUAAUCUACAACUGUUCACAUUUUUUCACCUUUAAACCUCUCCCAGCCCUCUUACUCUACAGCUUUUCACAUGUUUUCACCUUUUUAACCUCUUCCAGCCCUCUUACUCUACAGCUUUUCAUCCUUUAUUCACCUUUUUAACCUCUUCCAGCCCCCUUACUUUACAGCUUUCAUAUGUUUUCACCUUUUUAACCUCUUCCAGCCCUUUUGCUCUACAGCUUUUCAUCCUUUUUCACCUUUUUGGUCUUCAUCAGCCUUUAACUUUUCACCUUUUUUGCCUUCUUUCACCUUUUUAAGCUCUUUCAGCCCUCUUACUCUACAGCUUUUUAGCCUCUUUAGAUAUUCAUGUUUCUGCCUUUUCAACUCCUUCAAACAUACAACUUCAUGUUUAGCUAGAGAAACUGUUCAGCUAUCAAAAUGUUCAACUUUGUUAGCCCAUUAAACCUAUUGCUUUUAAGCCUUUCCGCCUUACCAGCGAUUGGAAUAUACUGCUUUUUCUGCAAAAUCCUGACCAUUCAGCCUAUAGUUUUAUGCAUUUCCUACAG